CAAUUUUCUACAUGAAAACAAAAGCACCCCAGGUAAUAAUGAUUCAAUCACUUCAAACACAGAAAUUCGUUGCGAUGGACAAACAUGGACAUAUUUUGGCCAAAGUAAGUGGAAGAUUGUAGUUUAAUAGAGAGCUGUCUGUAUUAAAGAGGUGUCCGUAUUAGAGAGGUGUUUGUAUUAGAGAGGUGUUUGUAUUAGAGAGGUGUUUGUAUUAGAGAGGUGUCUGUAUUAGAGAAGUACCGGUAUUAGAGAAGUGUCCAAUUUUGGGGAGGUGUCAGUAUUCAAGAGAUGUCCCUAUUAGAGAGGUGUCAAUAUAAGACAUGUGUCCACAUUAGAAAGGUGUCUGCAUUAGAGAGGUGUAGGCAUUAGAGAGGUGUCCACAUCGGAGAGGUUUCUAUAUUAGAGAAGUGUUCGCACUUGAGAGGUGUCUGCAUUAGAGAGGUGUCCACAUUAGAAAGGUGUCUGCAUUAGAGAGGUGUUCCUAUUGGAGAAAUGUCUGUGUUAGUCUGUUAGAGAGGUGUCGGGCAUCAGAGAGGUGUCGGCAUUAGAGAGGUGUCCACAUUAGAAAGGUGUCUGCAUUAGGGAGGUGUUCAUAUUGGAGAAAUGUCUGUGUUAGAGAGGUGUCGGGCAUCAGAGAGGUGUUGGCAUUAGAGAGAUGUCCAUAUUAGAGAGGUGUCUGUAUUAGAGAAAUGUCCAUAUUAGAGAGGUGUCUGUAUUAGAAAGGUGUCUAUAUUAUAGAAGUGUUCGCAUUUGAGAAGUGUCUGCAUGAAAGAGGUGUCCACAUUAGAGAGGUGUCUGCAUCAGAGAGGUGUCCACAUUAGAAAGGUAUCAGCAUUAGAGAGGUGUCCAUAUUAGAGAGGUAUCUGCAAUAGAAAGGUGUCUGUAUUAGAGAGUUGUUCGCAUUUUAGAGGUGUCUGCAUUAGAGAGGUGUGAACGAGGUUGGUGUCCAUAUUGGAGAGGUGUCUGUAUGAGAGAGGUGUCCAUAUUGGAGAGGUAUCUGUAUUAGAGAAAUGUCCAUAUUGGAUAGGUAUCUGUAUUACAGAGAUGCCCACAUAGAGAGGUGUCAGCACUAGAGAUGUAUCAGCAUUAGAGAGGUGUCUGCACUAUAGAGGUGUCUGUAUUAAAGAAGUCGGCAUUAGAGAGGACUGUCAGCAUUAGAGAGGUGUCUGCAUUAGAGAGUUGUCUGUAUUAGAGAGUUGUCUGCAUUAGAGAGGUGUCUGCAUUAGAGAGGUGUCUGUAUUAGAGAGGUGUCUGUAUCAGAGAGGUGUCUGCAUUAGAGAGGUGUCUGCAUUAGAGAGGUGUCUGCAUUAGAGAGGUGUCUGCAUUAGAGAGUUGUCUGUAUUAGAGAGUUGUCUGUAUUAGAGAGGUGUCUGCAUUAGAGAGGUGUCUGUAUCAGAGAGGUGUCUGUAUCAGAGAGGUGUCUGUAUUAUAGAGGUGUCUGUAUUAUAGAGGUGUCUGUAUUAGAGAGGUGUCUGCAUUAGAGAGGUGUCUGCAUUAGAAAGGUGUCUGCAUUAGAGAGGUGUCUGCAUUAGAGAGGUGUCUGUAUUAGAGAGGUGUCUGUAUUAGAGAGGUGUCUGCAUUAGAGGGGUGUUUGUAUUAGAGAGGUGUCUGCAUUCGAGAGGUGCCUGCAUUAGAGAGGUGUCUGCAUUAGAGAGGUGUCCAUAUUGGAGAGGUAUCUGUAUUAGAAAGAUGUUCACAUUAGAGAGGUAUCGGUAUUAGAGAGGUGUCCAUAUUAGAGAGGUUCGACUGUAUAAUUGAUAUAUUUUUCUUAUGUUAUCUUUAGACAAAGCCAGAUCAUGAUACGCUAUUUUAUCUGCGAACAGAAGAAAAUAAUUUCCAUACAUUGGCGUCAUAUAAAUACUACUUAUUAUGUCCAUAUGACAUGUUCCUCGCUAUCAGGAAAACUGGUUCUAUAAAGUCACCGUACCAGAGUGUUCCAGGCCAGGACUCCACACAGUUCAUGUUUGUUUGAGUAAACAAUUAAUAUAAGAGGGUUCAGAGAUUCAUAAUAUGUGAAGAUGUUUAAUUUAAAUUUUAUGAUAUUUAACAAUUAUUGAGUGUGGUUGAGCACAAUGUCAUAGCGUUUAAUAUCAUUUUCAUAUCAUCGUUAUGACGUCACUCCAUUGAGUAUUAUGUCAAAACACCAUAUUCGUAUUAUAUCGAAACACUAUUGGGCGGUUAGCCAAUCAGAAAUCAUGAAUUUUUUGCACCGCUGUUUGAGAUUAACUGCACUGAAACCAACCAAUCACAGUUGAGUAAUAUUUUUGUGUAUUAUUAUACUUUUUAUAGUUUUGAGCAUAUGUUAUGUAUAGAAAAAAACUUUCCUCUUGAUCUUAUGACAGUUGAAACUCAUUAAUUUACCCAAGCAAUGCAGGCUUCAUGGAGAUAGCUAUACACUCCAUCCGUGUUCUUGUUCCACAAACAAUUCCUAAUUAAAGAGACCCUUAACUGUACUAUAUUCCUUUACCAAUUUUACUGUAAUUGGUUAUUAAUCAAGAAUUUCGAUUUGUUAAUUAAAUAUAAAAGUUUUGGUCAAAGCCAUAUACAUAUUGUAAAAAUAAAAGUUCAUUUAUACAAGUGAUGAGUUAUAUGCUGCAGAACACACAAAAUUCUAGAGAAACUAUUAAGCAUAAAAGGACCGUGUAUUUAUGACGAUAUUACUGCAAUUGUCUAUUGAAGUUAAAUUCAUUACGUAAAAGCCAUGUGUAUUACCGGUUUAUAUACUUAGAUUGAAGAGAAAUCUGACAAGUAGCAAGAUGUAUGCCAAUUAAAGUACAUAUAUUAUAACUCCAGAGGAAUAUAUUCACAGCAAUCUUAAG